UGGGGAAUAUUGCACAAUGGGCGAAAGCCUGAUGCAGCAACGCCGCGUGAGUGAUGAAGGUCUUCGGAUUGUAAAGCUCUGUCUUUUGGGACGAUAAUGACGGUACCAAAGGAGGAAGCCACGGCUAACUACGUGCCAGCAGCCGCGGUAAUACGUAGGUGGCGAGCGUUGUCCGGAUUUACUGGGCGUAAAGGGUGCGUAGGCGGAUGUUUAAGUGAGAUGUGAAAUACCCGGGCUUAACUUGGGUGCUGCAUUUCAAACUGGAUAUCUAGAGUGCAGGAGAGGAGAAUGGAAUUCCUAGUGUAGCGGUGAAAUGCGUAGAGAUUAGGAAGAACACCAGUGGCGAAGGCGAUUCUCUGGACUGUAACUGACGCUGAGGCACGAAAGCGUGGGUAGCAAACAGGAUUAGAUACCCUGGUAGUCCACGCCGUAAACGAUGAGUACUAGGUGUAGGAGGUAUCGACCCCUUCUGUGCCGCAGUAAACACAUUAAGUACUCCGCCUGGGAAGUACGAUCGCAAGAUUAAAACUCUAAAUGAAUUGAC
rnacentral:rRNA from 1 species